rnacentral:misc_RNA from 1 species
UUGAUUCAAAUGUUUCCAUUCAGACAUCAGACGGAUUCGAGCGUCGAUGCGGCGCGGGAGCGCCGAAGCACGGGUCGCUUCCACCGGUUUGAGCCGACGCGGCGCCCGGAGGCGCCUCUCGGUAAUGAUCCCUCCGCAGGUUCACCUACGGAGA